AGUCAAGUAAUUAAGUGCAUGUGGUGGAUGCCUUGGCAGUCAGAGGCGAUGAAAGACGUGAUAGCCUGCGAAAAGCUCCGGGGAGGCGGCAAAUAUCCUUUGAUCCGGAGAUGUCUGAAUGGGGGAACCCACCUACUUUAAGGUAGGU
rnacentral:rRNA from 1 species